AACUCGGGUCCGUUCUCAAAUUCCCAAUUUCUUCUCUUCCUCUCUCUCUCUCUCUCUCUCUCUCUCUCUCUCUCUCUCUCGCUCAGAUAAUUCACUCGAUUUGCAUGUCAAGCAUAUCUCUUGCAUAAACUUCUCUAGAAAUCAGGUGGGUUUUCAAUUCAAUUGCAGCAAUUUCCAAGGAAAUAGUCCAUCAAUCCAGAGCAAUCCCACCGCCAUUGAUUGGAAGAGAUGUUGUCGGAGCUGCAUGGAUAGAGUCCUGGAAGACUCUUGCUUUUCUAUUUCAAGCUAUCUAGUUAUAUAAACAUGCAUAGCCUAUGUUUGUGCCCUACCCUCUUAUUUGUUCCUAAAGUGUAUAUCUUCUCUCUUUGUUUUUGUUGAUAUGAUGUUGGGCUAUGCAAAUUGAAGUUCAAAAACAAUAGCUAUAAUCUCUUUCUUACUGAUUGAAUAGAAAAUUGAAGUUCACAUACUUGCAUUUUGGUUUAGUCUAAUCUGCGUGUUUGCUUGUAUACAGAUUGAAACUUUCACAUAAGGGUUUUUGUACUGGUGCAGCUGCUAAAGUUUCCAGCUCCAAUGAUCAUGUGGGGCAGCAUAAAUCUUCAAAUAAAAGCUAACCUUAUGACAUUGCUAUUGUUGGAUGUGGCCCUUGCUUGUUCCUUGGAUAGGUUGUCUUUUGUCAGGUGAGACUUCGGCAAAUCCUUUUCAUGCGUGCUCAAGAGGAUGGAGAAGCCAGGCCAAAGACCUUAGCUCAGUGAUCAAGCAUGCACAUGUCGGUGAUGAAGGCAGGGACACCCCUUACCAUUGAUGUUGUCACUAUCAGUUUUCCUAUUUGUUGUAUCAAUACAAUUCAUGUUUCUUUAUUGUGCAAUUUUAGUCUCUUGCUGGCCUCAAAAUGGCUAUUAAUGCUCAUUAUCAAAUGUUACUCUGUAGUUGAGAUUGGAAAGUAAUUGGUGUUCUGAACUGGUGUAUGUAUUUUAAAAACUUAUGAGAAUGUAUAUG